UGGGGAAUAUUGGACAAUGGGGGCAACCCUGAUCCAGCCAUGCCGCGUGAGUGAUGAAGGCCUUCGGGUUGUAAAGCUCUUUUGGCGGGGACGAUGAUGACGGUACCCGCAGAAUAAGCCCCGGCUAACUUCGUGCCAGCAGCCGCGGUAAGACGAAGGGGGCUAGCGUUGUUCGGAAUUACUGGGCGUAAAGCGAGUGUAGGCGGUUGCCGUAGUCAGGUGUGAAAGCCUUGAGCUCAACUCAAGAAAUGCACUUGAUACUGGGUGACUAGAGGACCGGAGAGGAUAGUGGAAUUCCCAGUGUAGUGGUGAAAUACGUAGAGAUUGGGAAGAACACCAGUGGCGAAGGCGGCUAUCUGAGCGGUUACUGACGCUAAGACUCGAAAGCGUGGGGAGCAAACAGGAUUAGAUACCCUGGUAGUCCACGCCGUAAAACGAUGGGUGCUAGACGUUGGCGAGCUUGCUCGUCAGUGUCGCAGCU
rnacentral:rRNA from 1 species